UACGUAGGGGGCACGCGUUGUCCGGAUUUAUUGGGCGUAAAGAGCGUGUAGGCGGCCAUACAGGUCCGUUGUGAAAACUGGAGGCUUAACCUCCAGACGUCGAUGGAAACCGUAUGGCUAGAGUCCGGAAGAGGAGAGUGGAAUUCCUGGUGUAGCGGUGAAAUGCGCAGAUAUCAGGAAGAACACCAAUGGCGAAGGCAGCUCUCUGGGACGGUACUGACGCUGAGACGCGAAAGCGUGGGGAGCAAACAGG
rnacentral:rRNA from 1 species